CACAAAUUGAUGAAACUGAUGACGAGACUGAAUGAACAUUUUCUCGCUUUUAUAUUGUAUUUUUCAAUAUAAUUGCGUACAACAUUUGUUUAAUUAAGAUGAAUCGGCAAUCUGAUG